rnacentral:rRNA from 1 species
UACGGAGGGUGCGAGCGUUGUCCGGAAUCAUUGGGCGUAAAGGGCGCGUAGGUGGCUUCUUAAGCGUGCGGUGAAAGCCUGGGGCUCAACCCCGGGUCGGCCGUGCGAACUGGGGGGCUGGAGCACUGUAGAGGCAGGCGGAAUUCCGGGUGUAGCGGUGGAAUGCGUAGAGAUCCGGAAGAACACCGGUGGCGAAGGCGGCCUGCUGGGCAGUUGCUGGACGCUGAGGAGGCGAAAGCGUGGGGAGCGAACAGG